AUUGAACGCUGGCGGCAGGCUUAACACAUGCAAGUCGAGCGAGUGGCGGACGGGUGUGUAUUGCCUGGGAAUCUGGCUGAUUGAUCGGGAUAACUACUGUAAACUGUAGCUAAUACCGCAUACCAUCAGAUGCGCCCUGCUGGGUUUAGCUAGUGGGUGGGGUAACGGCUCACCAAGACGACGAUCCCUAGCUGGUCUAAGAGGAUGACCAGCGACAAUGGGACUGAGCCACGGUCCCGACUCCUACGGGAGGCAGCAAUGGGGAAUAUUGCGCAAGGGGAGCAAGGUUGAGGGAGCCAUGCCGCGUGACUGAAGCAGGCAUUAGGGUUGUAAAGGUCUUUCAUCAAGGAGGCGGUACUAACAGAAGAAGCACCGGAUAACGACGUGCCAGCAGCCGCGGUAAUAC
rnacentral:rRNA from 1 species